ensembl:lncRNA
UCCAUAGUGUUUGUUCUGGAGCCUCUCUCUCUCUCUGGCUGAUCUUCUCGUGUGUUUUUUGUUUUCUAAAGGUUUCCCUGGAUAGGAACGAGGCCCAAAAGUCAAGCCAGUCUUCCUGAGUGAGAGACCUGCUCAGAAACUGCUCACUGAAGGACAGUAGGUCUUGCCUGUCACUCUUGCUGUUAUGGCAGGAGGUAUUACAAUGGUGACCAAGCUAUGUCCAGGUUAUGCCUUUCUUCAGAUACUAAGGACUGCAGGCUUCGAGUUGCGCUGUUUGGAAGAAGCAACGUCGUCUUCUCUCACAGCUACGACGCGGCACCGCUCUCAGCAUAUCCUGCUUUUUUCCCCCAUUUACCUGGGCGGCUUCUGCUGUUUCUGUUGCUGCUGCUGGGGCUGCUGCAGUUUUGCUGCCUGUGCUUCACCCUGGCAUGUCUGAGUCGGGAAUCACUCGUCUGCACGCUGCUAAGGAAGAGCAGCGAUGGAACUCUGGCCACAUUUUAUUUUUCUGGAAGAGAGGGGUUGUGAUGUGGGGUGGGUUUUUUUUUUGGAAGGGUGGGGACAUUAAUCCAAAGUGAGGUGGGAGAAAGUUUAAAGAAAUAUUACGCAAAAUAAUCCAGCACACGACAAGGGCAUCAGCAGCAAGAAUCCAGCCUCUGCUGCUCGAAAGGAUUAACAUGGGAAAAGCCACAGUGGUGCAGUAGUGUUUCACAUCAGCAUUGUGCUGGAGAUGGAUAAAUAAGGUAUCUGAUAUGUCCGCUUGUAAAGGCAAAGCUAUGGGAGGAAGAGAGCGAGAGAGCAAAUGAAAAGGAAGAAGAAACACUGUAUUCUGUUUGUCUGAUUCUGUGCAUUCUUGUUCUAGAGAUGGUUGCAUAAUUUACCAAACAAUGUAUGGACGGAGGGACUGUAAAUUGUAGUCUGAACACUCGCGACGCUGUCAAGGAGGGAACUGAUGGGCUAGGUGACUGCACUGACAUCCCCAGGGAAAACAGCCGUCAUGCAGUAUAUAUUUAUAUAUGUAUGUGUAUCUCUUGUGUGUCCACGUGUAGACAUGAAAAAAGGCAUUUCUGACCAAUUUACACAGGAAGUUUGUCACUUUGCUAGAUCAGACUUGAUUACAGCUUAUAUUUUCAGCUACAACUCUACACCCAUUUCCUGAAUCAGAAGGUGCUUUGUGAAAAGAGACGUAUGCAGAAUUCUUUUAAGAAAUGUGAAAGCAGCUCCUUUUUAUUUAACACCUUGAAGCACUGAAUCUUCUGCACUGUGCUGAGAGGAACUGUGUGGGUUUUGUUUUCUUCAUCUUAAAAUCUUUAUAAACACAGCUGUAUUCAGUAUGGUGAAAAAUUCUAUAUUGUAAAUAGAAAUGCGAUCAAUCUAAUCAAAAUAAAUGUAUCCCAGAUGACUGCUAGACCA